AACAGAGGUCCCGAGCGUUGUUCGGAUUCACUGGGCGUAAAGGGUGCGUAGGUGGCCUGAAAAGUUUGAUGUGAAAGCUCAGGGCUUAACCCUGAAAUGGCAUUGAAUACUGUCGGGCUGGAGGUUUGGAGGGGGGACUGGAAUUCUUGGUGUAGCAGUGAAAUGCGUAGAUAUCAAGAGGAACACCAGUGGCGAAGGCGAGUCCCUGGACAACACCUGACACUGAGGCACGAAAGCUAGGGGAGCAAACAGG
rnacentral:rRNA from 1 species